AGUGAACGCUGGCGGUCGGCCUAACACAUGCAAGUCGAACGGCAGCACAGUAAGAGCUUGCUCUUACGGGUGGCGAGUGGCAGACGGGUGAGGAAUACAUCGGAAUCUACUUUUUCGUGGGGGAUAACGUAGGGAAACUUACGCUAAUACCGCAUACGACCUACGGGUGAAAGCAGGGGAUCUUCGGACCUUGCGCGAUUGAAUGAGCCGAUGUCGGAUUAGCUAGUUGGCGGGGUAAAGGCCCACCAAGGCGACGAUCCGUAGCUGGUCUGAGAGGAUGAUCAGCCACACUGGAACUGAGACACGGUCCAGACUCCUACGGGAGGCAGCAGUGGGGAAUAUUGGACAAUGGGCGCAAGCCUGAUCCAGCCAUACCGCGUGGGUGAAGAAGGCCUUCGGGUUGUAAAGCCCUUUUGUUGGGAAAGAAAAGCAGCAGGUUAAUACCCCGCUGUUCUGACGGUACCCAAAGAAUAAGCACCGGCUAACUUCGUG
rnacentral:rRNA from 1 species